CCAGAAAUUUGUACAUCAUAUCGAUCAUUCACUGCUGCUGCUAUGUACCGACAGUGAGAGAGAGACCGGUCUAUGUUAGGGUGGAAUAGCGUCUCCGGCUCUCAGCCUGAGAAGAGGAGGAGGGCACCACCAGUGAUCUCAGGUACGCCUUGGGCAGCGCCAUCAGCUUCUUCGUCUUCGGAACGUAGGCCCUCCGGGUGAAGUUGUCGUAGUCGUUGGCCUCGAUCUCAUCGAGGAUCUACCGGUACAGGAGAAGAGAAGACCACACCUGAAACAACAGCAGUCACUCAUCUGACCGGGUUCUGAAAAUGGCUAGCGUUGUGUGUCUCACCGGCCUUCGGCUCUCCUGGUUGAGCUUGGUGGCGCCUUCCUCUCGAUGCACAUACCACGGUGGGGGUCAGAUCAGGACUUCACCUUCACUUGUUCCUCUUGAAUCCACUCAAAUCCUCGCCAUCCAGGGCCCCCAAAUCACCCCGAAUUCACAAGAAAACGCCGGGAAUCAAACCCCCGCGCCAGCCACGGGCAACAGAAGAGUAAGCUGAUGGCAGCGCCAUUAAGCCCGAGGGGGAGUAGGUCACCACAGCGAUGGAGGAGUAAGCAACGGCGUCAGGGGGCUCAAUGGCCGGAUCUGGCUGCCAUCUCCGAGGAGGCCCGCUCGGAGUCGAGCUCCUGCCGCAGCCCCCACACGACGUCCUCUACGGCCUCCUUCUCCCGACGCAGCCGCUGCGUCGCCAGCUCCUUGGGGAGGGAGCAAUCUUCAGGGGGUCGAGCGCGGUCCUCCGGCCCGCGCGAGCUAGGGGAGCCAGGGACGUACGCGGGGGAAAGGGUGGUGCAGGGGCGACGACGGUGUCGAUGUCGGCUACUCGGCUUGACGGACACGACGCUAGAAUGAACACAUCUUGUUGGAAGGCAGCACGGCGAGGACGCCCUCCUAGGAAAGGGGGGAGGAGGCGACGAUGACGACGAGCAAGAGGAGCUUUUGGGUUUGGGUCUAGGUUUGACCGACCCAGGGUGUGGAGGAGCGGGCGUGGACGGGCGAGCAUCGCACGCAGGAUGAGGUGCGAGGGGGCGAGGGAGAUUUGGGUCGAGGGGAGGUUGAGGAGACUGCGGGCUGGGGAGGCGACGAGGGGAGGGCGGAUUUCACGGUGACAUGCGCAGAUUUCUCGGCGACGACUUUCGCGGGGGAGGCGGGUGCACGGUGCGAAGGGGGUAGGCGGGAGCAUGCGCGGGCAUCGCGUGGGCGAGGAGGGCGGAGCCGUGGUGAGGUGGUGGACGCCCUCCUUACACUCUUAAAGAGUAGUAGAGCUGUAAGUUGAGGCUCUCAUUAGAAAAUAGGCAAUCUUCAUAAUCACCUAUGGUAAUAUGCGACAUCAUAUAAUUAUUCGAUAAAUAUUAAUGCACAAUGAUUACAUGAAAAUGAACAAUAUAUAUAUUGCAUAACUUGCAGAAAAUAAUUCUAGCAGUGUAGUGGGAACUUAUGUUACUUAGACAUUAGCAUGCUACCAUUACUGGUAUGUUGGAAGGCAUGUCAUAUACGACAACUGUAGGCAAAAAGAAGAAAUAUCUUUAUGUUUUACAUGGACUGGAAGCAUGUCCAAUAAAAAGUGUAUCAGCAUUCUAGAAGGAAAUAAGCCAAACUUAAUAAAAAUAAUACAACAAGAAAUUAUUUAACAUACCUUGGCAGCAAAGCUGCCUCCAUAAGCCCUGAUCUCAGAGAAUGCCACUCUUCAAAAAAAAACUCUCUAGCUCAGGCCAUGAUCUUGUUGCUACUAUAAAACACAUUAUUGAGACAACACUUGAUCCUAAAAUCUUAGAUAAGAUUGGCAUUAAUAAUGACCAGCCAAGAGAACCAACCUUCGUAUGAUACAGAGAUGUAUCAGUAUAUGCAAAAUCAAGUCCACGAAGACGGCCAACUUCCUCAUAUACUUGAAAAUCGGCAGCAGAUUUUAUUGCUCCGGACUGAAAAACGAAAGACAUCUUGUAGUUACAAAACAUCAAUCCCCUAGGAAAACAAUUGAUAUUGAUCAAUCGUGCAACAUCAAACUGGUAGAUCUAGAAUUAUCUUCUUUCACCCAAGCAACAAAAAAGAACUCCCUUUUCUUCAUGCUCAAUUUUAGCACCAAAUACGUUGGUAUGAGGUUAGCAAGCAAUUAUAUAUACCUAAUUCAGUAAUAUUUUUGUUUUAUAAUCAAAGAGGACAAAUAGAAAUUAACAAAUGUUCUGUGCGUUGAACAAAAAAGUAGCAACAAAAAAUUGAGCAAAAUUUGUCCAGACAGGUAUUUUGAGGUUAAAAAUCCCUCACGAAAUCCAGCAGCCUGAACUCCUGCAAGCACUGUCUGCACAAGCUGAGCAGGUCGGAGAUGGACUCCUCUUUUUUCUCAUACUUGAGCCACGCCCCGAAGAUGAGCUUCUCGUGUAUGGUGCUCGCAUUCUCCCACACAGGCUGGAGGAUCCUCCGAAUAGCUUGGCCUCGCCGAGGCCACGGAAGACCUAGAAUUAUAGGAGGUAUAGGGAGGUCUUGUCGUCAGGAGGGCAGCACUCCAGCUCCUUGUGUAUCUGAGCCAGUAUGUUGAUAUAGUCCGCGGGCUUGAAGUGCGAAAGCACAGCCGGCUCCGACAUCUUCAUCAAGGACUCUCUGCGACACAGACAAAACAGGAUGAACAUCUCAAUCGACCAACUUUGCACAACCAAAUCAACACCAGUGCCUAAAAGACGUCUUGCGUGACACAAUUCAAGCAUAAACGAAUGAGCAUAUGUUGACAUAUCAAGCCAGAAACAAGUGAAGGACUGAGAGCUUACAUGGAGGAGCCGCCAGCAGCAUGGCCAGAGAAUUUGGAGAGCUUCUCCCACACAGGCUGGAGGAUCCUCCGAACAGCUUGGCCUGAAAUUUGUACAGCAUAUUGAUCAUUCACUGCUGCUACUAUGUACCGACAGUGAGAGAGAGACCGGUCUAUGUUAGGGUGGAAUAGCAUCUCCGGCUCUCAGCCUAAGAAGAGGAGGAGGGCACCACCAGUGAUCUCAGGUACGCCUUGGGCGGCGCCAUCAGCUUCUUCAUCUUCGGAACGUAGGCCCUCCGGGUGAAGUUGUCGUAGUCGUUGGCCUCGAUCUCGUCGAGGAUCU
rnacentral:lncRNA from 1 species